rnacentral:RNase_P_RNA from 1 species
CCAGACGGCUGGACGGCCGCCUCUUGCUACGGCGAAAGCUGCAAGGGGAGGAAAGUCCGGGCUCCACGGAGACACGGUGCCGGGUAAUGCCCGGCGGGCGCGAGCCCAGGGAAAGUGCCACAGAAAGCAAACCGCCCUGCGAAGCCUCGGCGAAGCAGGGUAAGGGUGAAAGGGUGCGGUAAGAGCGCACCGCGUCCUUGGCAACAAGGACGGCACGGUAAACCCCACCGGGAGCAAAACCGAAUAG